AUCCCGUUUCCCGAGUUCCAAGAAUUCUGCACCAAUGACUGCAAGACAAUAUGCAACGCAAGUUCCUGAGGAGCUGGUGUCUGUCUGCAGCAGUCAUUAGGCAGGACAUACCACAGCUGUGUGGCGCAGCCAAGACAGGAGCAAUGAUUCAGAGGAACAGAUAUGCCAGGAGGAAGACAACAAAGAUGAAAGAGAAACGGGAGAGGGAAACGUAAACAGGGGGAAUGUGGUGAAGAAGCGCCACAGAGCCAAGCAGGAAAACUUCUCUCCUAUUCACCCGACUUGCUCCAUCUGUUUGG